rnacentral:rRNA from 1 species
AACGUAGGAGGCAAGCGUUAUCCGGAUUUACUGGGCGUAAAGCGCGUGCAGGCGGUUUCUUAAGUUGUGCGUGAAAGCUCUCGGCUUAACCGGGAGAGUGCGUGCGAGACUGGGAGACUAGAGACAGGUAGAGGCAAGUGGAAUUCCGGGUGUAGUGGUGAAAUGCGUAGAGAUCCGGAGGAAUACCAGUGGCGAAGGCGGCUUGCUGGACCUGUUCUGACGCUCAGACGCGAAAGCAUGGGGAGCGAACGGG